rnacentral:rRNA from 1 species
GCGCUCGGGGAUGGGCCUGCGUCCUAUCAGCUGGUUGGUAGGGUAACGGCCUACCAAGGCGACGACGGGUAGCUGGUCUGAGAGGAUGAUCAGCCACACUGGCACUGGAACACGGGCCAG